AAUGCAUUAUUUACAGAUUUUAUUUUGUUCACAAGAUGAAGUGCAAUAUAAGUUAAUUUUGAUUCUAUGAUUGAUUCCAAAUCAUACUUCUUUGCCUCAUUUGUAAUUGAUGAUGAUUUUUUAUUUAAGAUAUAUUUUUAUGAUUUUUAUAUUAUAUUUUUGAAAGACUGCUUUUAAUUACUGUGAUCAUUUGUUUUAAUUUUAAAUAAUAAGUUUGAUGUUUCAAUUGAUAUUUUUUUUUACCCGUUAAACUAUUUUUGUUAUAUUAUAUAUGAUUUUUUUUAUAUAUAUAUUAAAUAUGUGAUAUUAAAUGGUUCAUUCCAGUUAAGGGGACAAUAGCAGAUUUAAGUUCAGAAUCUACACUAACGUUGUUUUUUUUUUUUUCAUUUUUAUAGUUUUAAAUGGUUAACUCAUAAGUAUUUUUAUGCUUCACAUGAAUUUCAUUUUCUUAAUUUGAGUCACAAGUUAAUUUUCUCGUUUGUAAACAAAGGUAUUUGAAUGUAUUUUUCUCUUUUUACUUAUUAAAGUCCGGUAAAAGUUUUUCAGAAUUUAAUGUUUUUUCUUGAUAAGUUUAUAAAGUUGUUUUUGUACACAAACACAAAUUUUUCAGGUGUAAUUUUGUUAAAGAUGUGGCAUUUUCUUUAUGGUGCAUGUAUAUUAUUUGUGAACAAAAAGUUAACAUGACUAGAACUUUGUUUUCAUAAUAACAAUGACAUCCCUGGGUUUUUUUUUUAUCUCACUUAUGACUAGACUUCUGAUCAUUACAUUCAAAUUUAAGUCAAGCAUUAUCAAAGUCAAUAUCAAUCACUAAAAAUGAAAAAAAUAUAAAGGUCAAACCCUGUCAGUGUUCUUUAAGUGUAAACUACAAUGUCCAUUCUAAUUUGUUAUAAGUAAAUAGUUUUUUUCUGGUGCUCUCGUCUAUCUGUUUUAGCAUGUUUGAAGUAUGACAGACUAUGUGAAAUAAAUACUGGAUGCUAGUCAGUUGGUGAAUUCCAAUUUUGCAUUCAUCCUCCAAAACCAACCAAUGCAAUUGUAGUAAAAACAAUAAGAUUGUUAUAUUUCAGGCAACAUUUUAUUUUAUUUUUUUAGUUAAAGUUACUAGAAUCUAUGUUAUAUAUAAACUUAUCAGAUCAUUGCACGUCAUGUAACUUAGUUAUUGUAUUUGUCAACAAGACUAGGAUAUAUACUCAAACAAUAUCAUUCAGAAUUUGUUUCUCGUAAAAAGACAAUGUAUUAAAAUAUUCUUUUAAAAAAAUAAUUAUAAAAGAAGAAAAAAGACUAUAUGAAAACCUUUUUUGAAACUGUUCAUAAUUAUUGUUCUUUGCUCAAUCCUGAUGUUAUGUAAAAAAUGUUAUAGACAUGUAAGAAUGGUUCAAGUAAAACUAGUAUCGCAAAUACCUUUGAUUUAGAUUGAAAUAAAGGAAAGACAGAGUACUGUAGUAAAAUUUGCAGACAGUACAGGGAUAAAGGCUUGUAGUAACUGCAACAAGCUUUAAUGUUUGCCAGCAAUCUGUUACUAUAUACAUAUAACUUUGUUAGCUAUAGACAUUUCUAUAACCUUAUCUGUCUUGGCCCGCCUCACUCUUUUUUAUGUAAUAUAAGAGUAUGACUGCUUGUAUGUAAAGUUGAUAAUAUAUUCUGUAUUUAAGCAAAAUGAUUGUUACGUUCGUACAUGUAUGUAUUAAUCCAGUUUAAAAUUUACUAGUAUGAAAUACUACCCUUAGGCUAUCAAUUUGUCUUGUGAUUUGAAUGAAUAUGUGUACUUUCAUGUUGUACCCUGUGAAAUAAAUUGACCAAUUCUG
rnacentral:sRNA from 1 species